rnacentral:rRNA from 1 species
AGCAUAUCAAUAAGCGGAGGAAAAGAAACCAACAGGGAUUGCCCUAGUAACGGCGAGUGAAGCGGCAACAGCUCAAAUUUGAAAUCUGGCUUCGGCCCGAGUUGUAAUUUGUAGAGGAAGCUUCUGGCGCGGUGCCAUCCGAGUCCCCUGGAACGGGGCGCCAUAGAGGGUGAGAGCCCCGUAUGGAUGGAUGCCUAGCCUGUGUGAAGCUCCUUCGACGAGUCGAGUAGUUUGGGAAUGCUGCUCAAAAUGGGAGGUAAAUUCCUUCUAAAGCUAAAUAUUGGCCAGAGACCGAUAGCGCACAAGUAGAGUGAUCGAAAGAUGAAAAGCACUUUGAAAAGAGGGUUAAACAGCACGUGAAAUUGUUGAAAGGGAAGCGCUUGUGACCAGACUUGCGCCAGGCUGAUCAUCCGGUGUUCUCACCGGUGCACUCUGCCUGGCACAGGCCAGCAUCAGUUUUGGUGGGGGGAUAAAGGGCGCAGGAACGUAGCUCCUCCGGGAGUGUUAUAGCCUGUGUCGUAAUGCCCUCGCCGGGACUGAGGACCGCGCAUCUGCAAGGAUGCUGGCGUAAUGGUCAUCAGCGACCCGUCUUGAAACACGGACCAAGGAGUCAAGGUUUUGCGCGAGUGUUUGGGUGUAAAACCCGCACGCGUAAUGAAAGUGAACGUAGGUGAGAGCUUCGGCGCAUCAUCGACCGAUCCUGAUGUAUUCGGAUGGAUUUGAGUAAGAGCGUUAAGCCUUGGACCCGAAAGAUGGUGAACUAUGCUUGGAUAGGGUGAAGCCAGAGGAAACUCUGGUGGAGGCUCGCAGCGGUUCUGACGUGCAAAUCGAUCGUCAAAUCUGAGCAUGGGGGCGAAAGACUAAUCGAACCAUCUAGUA